CUGCCUCGGCCUCCCAAAGUGCUGGGAUUACAGGCACGAGCCACCAUGCCCAGCCCAAGAUCUCCUCUUCUCUCUGUUAUGUUGCUAUUACCCGGGACACUUUAAUACCAUAAAUAUGUUUUCUAACCUUACUGAGUUAUUUGCUAAUUUAACAUCCUUAUUUUAUUUAGUGUUCCAAUUAUGAGCAUCUGUGGCUUGCAGAAUUGUGUCAACUUGCUAGAGACAGACUUUUGAUUUAGCAUUCGUUUCCAUUUUUAUGCUUAUCUGUCUUUUUUAUUUGUGUUUGCAGAAUUUUCAAUUUCUCAUCAAUCUCUCUGGGUCAUUAUUAUUGUCUUAGCAUCUCAUUGUCCAGAUUUUCAAGAAGUUAAGAAAGCUUAGUCAGAUGGUUGACUAUAUUUUGUAAAUAUAUGACUCAGCUAAUGGCUCUUUGAAAUUUACAUGGACUUUUUUUACUUAGUAGUCUUAGUCUGUGUAAUGCCAUCUUUGAGGGACUUCCAUGCACAAUCUCAUAUCAUCUCCGUAUAUUUGUUUCUAGCUGGGUAUUUGAGGCUAGAUAGACUCACAAGAUGUUUACAGAAACAAAGAUGAGUCAAAAAUCCAAAUCUCCUAAUUAGUGUAAUUUUCAAUAUAGCCCAGUCCUGUCCAGCAUCAGGAGACUUGACAGCCCCCAAACCAAAAGGGCAUCUGAAAUACAUAUUGCUCAUCCCUCCGCCUGCCUCCCCCAUGCCGAGACAGGAGCUGUGGUGAGCGUGUGGAUGGCACAGGCUCUGCGGGUGUCUGACUAGAGAGCCUCAGUUACGCGCUCUCCACCUCAUCACACAGCAGCCCCGUGUAAUAGAAAUCGCUUAUUAUGAGGGUUGGCUAAAUAAAGGCACAUUGUGACCAGUCACAAUUUCUAAAUGAAUCCUCCUGACUGAUCUGGUCCUGACACUUUCAAAGCUGCCGUUAUUACUGAACCUGAACAUGUGGAAAGGACAAGUCAAGACAGAAUGAUAAAAUUCUUGAAUGCUUUUGCUUAAAAUUAUUCAUUCUCUUGUGUGUGUGUAAAUGGGGACACACACACACACAUACACACACUCCAUAGACACUCUCGCAUACUUAAACGGUUCCCUAGGUGCACUUUUAUCAUUUUAUCUCAUCUCACUUUGGUAGUUUCCAUUGUAGUCCUUCUGUAGACUAAUUCUCUAAAUAUUUAGAAAAAUAAGAGGGUCUUUUAUCUGUGUGUAGUCGUGGAUUUUGCUGCCUCUUAAAGCAUUAUCUUUUCUAAGUCCUUAAGUGUUAGAAGUGGGAAAACCAUCUUUCUUUUAAAUUUAGCAAAUGGCACUUAUGUGCAUAUGUACUGAUGCCAUAUACACACUUACACUGUAAUAGAAACAUCGUGGAAAAGCAAACCAUAGGCUUUUAUCAUAGGCAUGAGCUUUUUCCCUCUCAUCUCCGCCUGGAAAGAUGGUUAGGAGAAUGAGAGGCCUCUCUGGAUCUGUAUUUAUAAGCCUUACUGGAAAAAAAAAGUCAAUUAUUUUUUAGACUCAGCUCACACCAUAAUAAAUGUGAAUCUAAACAAUCGCUCAAGUGCUUUCUAAGCAAUGGUUCUAUCUAUGAUCACUCAGACUUCCUUCUUUUAUUUAGUAAAAAGGUAACAAAUAAGAAUGGAGUGCCAUUUGCAUGUUUCUUAUUUUUACUCAAUAUGGAGUCCAGUGGUUGAGUAGGCUCAUCCAGUAGCAAAGAGAAGCAAACAAAAUUGAUUUCCUGUAGCCCACAGUGAUUUUCCCUAGAUUUAGAGAGCAUGUGAUUCCAAGAUGGGUGUGGGGUAAAACUCUCAAGGCUUUCCUGGCGAGAGACCCGGGCAUGCUGGUGGAGAAACCAGACAUCAUGCUUGGGAGGUUGGGGCCUCUCUCCUCCUUGAAUGAGCUCUGUUUUAGGAUGUUGUUCAUGUGAAAGUAUUGCACUUACCUCAGCAUAAAAUGUCAAGCCAUCACAUCCUUGGGAUAGAAACAAUUAAGGAAGGAUUUAUGUUUGUAAAAACAUGUGCCUAUUAAGGUAAGUAAUUAGGGCACAUGAAAGAAAGAUAAUAUGGAGAUGUAAAAAUUGGGGGUUCUGCAGUCAGACCCCCUGGAUUUAAAUCCUAGCUCCACUUGCUGAGUGACCUUGGGCUAGUCAUUGAACCUCUCUGAGCCUCAGCUUCUUUCCCUGUGAAAUGGGGAAACUAAUGGGUUUAUUGUGAGUAUUAAAUGAGUUAAUACAUGCAAAACAAUUCACACAUAGUAAGCAUGAAAUAAAUACUAAUUAUUAUCAUUGUUACGCACUAAGAAAGGAUUUUUGCAACUAAAGUGUCAAAAGAAAUGGAGAUGCUAAAGAAUUAUUUGGCUUUAAAAGAUGAAUUCCAGUACAAAAUGAGGCUGUUUAACAACCAGAUUCCAUAUUACAAUCAGAAAGUUCCAGCAGAGUACCUCAGGCUUCAUCUGGGGAACAUGUUUAAAGGUACCAAUAAUUUUUGGGUUUUUUUUUCCAAUUUUAAUAAAUGAAAUUCUCAUUCCUUUCUGUCUGUCUCUCUGUUAGCGCUAUUGCUUUAUCUUACUCUGUAGUCUGUAUUUCUCUUCCUAGUUUCUUUUUUUUUUAGAACUAGUUGUGAAUUCUUUAUUCUCUCACAUAGACAUAUGACAGUGGGGAAGGAGGGCAUGUGUGUUUCCUAAAUGUUAGCAAGAAGUCUGUCUUGCCAUCUCCAUAGAGUGGAAAAUUCAGCAAGUAGAGUCUGUUAAUGUCAUUCCCCUUCAAAUCACAUUCAAAAGUGUGCUUAAUGCACUGUGUACAUUAAUCAGACAUUUUGAUCAUGAGUAAUGGUGAUGCCUUCAGAAGUUUGGGGUGGGGGUGUGGGUUUUGUAUAUCUUGGAAGGAAUCCUAAGUCCUUGGGUGACUUCGAAGCAGUCUGUAUGGGCGCUCCUCCCACAUCCAUUGCAUCUUUGUCAGACACAUGGCCCCUAGGCUCCACUUUGUCCAUAGGCAUGGAAAGGUGAAAGUGCCUGGGAAUUAAUAUCUCUGGGGACACUCUGAAGCAAUGACUGCUGGUUAUAUGGGUAUAAAUACUCCAGCUCCCUCACCCCUUGGCUAAAGUAAUUCCAAGGCACGUACUUUGCAGUUUUCCAGAGUUACCCUGUGAGAUUCAACUGCCAUCACCCACUGUGGUAGCUGACUUAAUAAUGCAUCCUAUAUUGUGUGGCCGCCUUCCCUUCCCUGUCUAACUUCUCCCUCACUACCCAGACUCUCUGUAUCUCCCAAUACACCACUCACUUGUUCGGGGUCACUUCUGGAGUUUCCAACCCCAGAUGAUGUGCACACUUUCAGAGGUAGAAGUGAAUCUACUAAGCCUAGACUAGGUAUCAUCAAAACCACUCUGGGCUGCAAACUGGCAGGGUGCAGGCCGCAAAUUUGGCAGAGCUCUGCUUUCCCUGGGUUUGGAAUUCCACUGACUCAGAGCCUGAAUAAUCGUGGAGGCAGACCUGUCAAGGUGUUAUCUGAAGAGCUGUUGGGGAAGUGGACCAAGACCACAGCUGCCCAUUCUCUCACCCCACCUUCUUUCUGCAGAGUGGCCCAUUUGUGAUUCAGGAGAAAGAGUGCAGGAGCAGUGGUCAGCAUGCUGUGAUCGAUGAUUUCUGAGCGUGGGUGGGCCUUGACAAAUGCUCCUAUCCACUUCAUUCCCUCUUAAUAGACCCAUCAGACAGGUGCUUGUUGUUUUCCAGUGCCAACCUGGGUAAACCAGUCAUCAUGUGCCCCAGUGUGUCAAAGAAAAUGCCUGCUUCCCAGAAGGUUUCCCACUAAUGGGGAAAAGAAGGUUGAUUCACACAGCCUUUUAUUGCAAACCAAUUCAUUCUUUGGCAAUCUGAAACCAAAACUGCACAUUUAGCCAGGCAGGUCUUUUAAAAGCAUGUCCUUUACCGUACUGUCCAUUGCAGACUCCCAUCCAUAUCUUCUUUCUUGUUUUGUGUUAUCAUUUUUGUGAUGCUUUAAUACUCAAUACAUGAACUGAAGCUAUGUGGCUUCUGUAUCGCAGUGUAUUAGGAUUCCAGAAAGACAUGCAAUCCCUGAGCAGACAAUAAAUUUGAUUUUGCACAAGUGGCAUCCUUUAUACUUUGCUCAUAAGGCGAUCUCUCAAGUGUAUUUUUUUUUCUGAAACACAACACAAAUAGUCUGAUGAAGUAAAAAUGGGUUGCAUGAUGGGUUUUGUGCUCAGCAAAAAGAACUUGGACAAAGCAGCCAUGCUGAUGUUCUUAUUUACAAAGGUUGCCGUCUGGGAAAUUAAUCUCUGCUGUUGCUCAGUAAUUAGGAAAAUUUAGGACCCCUAGUGCUCCAGCAUCUUGCAUUAAAGGUUGUAUGUCAUUGGUGUUUUCAUGAGAGUUUGCUGGAUUUCUGUCAUUAAUAACAGGCAUAAGCCCAGCAAGCAGUAGAAUAUGCAUUGCAUUUAAUCAAUUUGCUAUUUGUAUUCAUUAUGCAUGUCAUCCGUUUUGAGUCAUGAAAAAUUGAAAGGCCAUUACGAAUAGAAAGAGCAUCAUGGAUUACAAAUGAUGUAACAAGAGCAUAAGCGCUAUUAAUUGGUCAAUUGUGCUUGUCGGUACAUUUAAAGUGAUUAAGGCAGAAAGAUUAGAAAGGACACGAAUGUGCUUGGGAAACAGAAGCAUAGCAACACAAGGGCUCUCCCAAGUCCUUUGUGCCCAAAUAAAUGCAGCAAAAUCCAAUGGCAUUUAUUCCAACUAAUUCAUUAAACAGAUAUUAGUUGAGCACUUACCAUGUGCUGAGUACAAGGAUUGUACUGAGUACAGCAGAAAACAAAAUAAGUGAAGCCCUUGACCUCAGGGAUUUACCUUCCAGAGGGGAGGGGGAAGUAUGAAAUGAACAAAUAGAUAUACAAUAUAAUAUAUUGUAGUAGCAGAGACCAUGAAGACCACCAGAAGCAGAGAGGAAGCCCUCUUUGGGGAAAUGACAUUUGAACAGAGGUUUAAAUGAAGAAAAUAAAAAGACAGGGGGUCCGAGCACAGUGGCUCAUGCCUGUAAUCCCAGCACUUUGGGAGGCUGAGGUGGGAAAAUCACUUGAGCCCAGGAGUUUGAGACCUGGGCAACAUGGUGAAACUAUCUCUACAAAAAUACAAAAAUUAGCCAGGCGUGGCAGUGCACACCUGUAGUCCCAGCUACUCAGGAGACUGAGGUGGGAGGAUCGCUUGAGUCCAGGAAGUCGAGGCUGCAGUGAGUCCAGAUCACGCCACUGCACUCCAGCCUAGGUGAUAGAGCGAAACCCUGUCUAAUAAAAGAAAAAUAAAAUUAAAAGGCUACAUGGAUAUCUGGGGGAAGAAUAGACUCAAUAUCCCCCACUCCCAUUCCAACACUCAAGAAGAAAAGAAAAUUCUUGCAAUUAUUUUUUUACUCAAGUGAUUUUGUGAGGCUUGACCCAAUAAUGGAAUGGCUUUGCCAAGGCUAGAGAACUCACUCAGCCGGUUUUCCCAUUACAGACCUCUUGGGUGAUAGCAAUUCUGUUAAAGUGGAAACUGAUGGCAUCAUUUGCCAUUUUUACUGUCCCCAUACAUAGUCCUUACCAUGGCAUGCAGACCCCUACGCUAUCCAGCUCCUGCCUCCCAUUUCAUACCACUCCUCCUUCUCCUGCCAAGUUCUAGCCCCUGGACUUUCUGUUGCUCACAUUUCCAGUUCGUUCCUGCCUCUGCACCCAUGCAUUUGCUGUCUCCUGCCCUCAGAAAUCCAGACCUGAGCUCCCAGGCCACAUCCUCAGAGACACCCUCCAUGACCACCAGGGUUGCACCUGCUCCCUGGCCCCUGUGAUUUGAUCCCACUACACUCAUUACUGCCUGAGUUCUGUGCUAUCUGCUUACUCGUUUCUUACCUACCUCCCAUGUUUGAUAUAAGUUCCAUGAGACUAGGCCCAGGUCACUUGAGUUCACUGCGGUAUCCCAUCACCUGGAACAGUGCCCGGUACAAAGAGGCUCAGUACGCCCAAAUCAAAUGAAUGAAUGAGUGGAUCAAUCAAUCAGCCAACCAGCCAAAAAUAAAAUGAAAAAUUGACAGUUGGGUUUCUGCUUUUGUAUUCGGUAACUAUUUUAAAAUUUUGUAUUUAGGUAGCUAUUUUUUUAAACCACAUGAAAGAAAGGGAUGUUUGUUCUGCACAGCAUUCUCUGGAGUGAUUAGGUAGCAUUGGUAUUUGUGCUUCAUGUGUCUACAAUCUAUUGCCAUGCAUUUCUAAUAACAUAAUAUUCCUUUUCAAUAUACUGACUUGUUUUUCUUUUUCUUUUCUUUUUUGUUUUUACUGGCUAAAUGCUAUAGCAUUGUCUUUGAAUAUUAGCAAAUAAUGGAACAUGGGCCAAGGGUGAACCAUGACGAAUUUGUGUUCCAGCAGCCCUGCUUCUUUAGAAUUGACAGUCUGGCUUCGUGGUUAAUUCACAGCAUCUGAGGAAUACAUCCAAAGAGGGUGAUACUGUGGCAUGAUGGUACCAGGAUUCCAAGUUCAUUCCAGAGAAGAUGGCAAGAUGCAGAGAGGAGGAGUCACGCCUGAAGCCACACAGCUGACAUCAGAGCCAAAGCAUGAGCCUCAGUCUCUCUGACCCAGAGCUACCACCCUUGCUGCCUUGGGAAGAAGGAAGCCCCCUCCUAUUCUAUCCUUGAGCUGCCUUGGCAAGGAGGGGCCCCUUGCUGCCGCCAUCCUCACAGGACACCAUCCACAUGAGGGGAUGGUGAGCUCCACUUCCACCUUUUCUACAUGUCUGCUCUUUAAACUGCACACGUUGAUUCAUUCAUUCAUUCAUUCAUUCAUUCCCUUGAUAUUACCAUUCAUUUAUUCAUCAAGUAUUUAUUGAGCAUAUUUAUCUGCAUGGCAUUGUGCUAAUCGUAAUCAUCAUAUUCACCACUGCUGAGCAGAACAGUCAGGGUGCUGCCCUCAGGGAGUUACCAUGUAGUAAAGGAGACAGAUGGAAUCACACAGAGGAAUGCACGUCUGAUUGUAGCCUGACUGGAGUGCCAUGAAGGAGACCAAGAGGGCAGGGUGAUGGAGAAAGCACAGGAUGAAGUUCUCGUCUUCCUUCCAACAGAAUCUCAGUUGCACUCAGUUGUUGCCCCCCUCGAACCUCCCUUGAGCCUCAGGAGAAACCACCCUGAUUCAGAGGUCCAGAGAAGACCUGACUAGCCCAAGGUAAUUCCGUCCCCUUGCCAGAGUGGCUUGGGCAGGGACACGGGACCUAUUUCAAUGAGGCCAAUGAGACAAAGGUAUUUCUGCUGGGGAGGCAGGGGCUUCAAGCAAAGGGUCUUGCUUGAAAGAGCCACCGGAAGAGGGCUCUCUCCUUCCUUAGGGUGUCACCGUGUCUGGAUGCGAUGCCUGGAAGUGCUACAGCCACUCGCGCCCAGCCUGAAGAUGAAACCAACCCCAAACACAGCCAAGCAGAGAGAUGGAAAGAACUAGGACCCUAAUUACACCACUGAGCAGCUAUAGCAACCAGUUCCAGAGCCCUCUGACUUCCCGCCAAAGUGAGAUGAUAAGAUACUGUUUAAUUUCUCUCUUUUAUAGCCAAACACACCAAAAUUGACACAGAGAUGUGAGCCAUACCUACUACUGUUACUGCUCCAUCCCUAGCUCCAACCACAGUGCAUGGUACAUGGUAGAGAGCCAACAAACACUUGAAGAAUGAAUGGUGCAUAUUGAGUGGGAUUUUCCAGAGGCAGACCUGGAGACAAGGCUUCAAGUGCGUGUGUUGUAUUAAGGAAAUGCUCCCAGGGGACAAUAGCAGAGUGGCAGAAAUGGGACAAGGGGGCCAGGGAGCCAAGAACAGAGAAUCAAUCGUCUAAACAGAGCCCCCUGUUUUUUGUUUCACCUGGGAGUAGCUUCUACCUGAUCCCCAGGGGAACUCUGGGAUGUCAGUGACGGCUCAGCAUUGCCCCUGAGGCAAGGGAGCUGGGCUUUCCUAAUCCCCCACUCCUCAGUCUCUGGCUAAGCGCUGUCCCCAGGGGACUUAAUCACCCAAACACUUCCCCAAGAGUGGCAUCUGCUGACCACUGGAGGCACUGGUACAGUGAAGCGACAGAAGGGAUCAGAGAGGGUCCAGGUGGAGCACAGCAAUGUGGCUGAAUAAUAACUAUAUUAAUUCAUAUAGUUAAUUCUCAAGCAAUGGCAAAGUGUAGGCAGCUUCUUGUCUGCAAACGUUUCCAUGAUAUCUCUCCUGCAGCCAGACGGGUCUUUUCCUGCCGCCUACACAGAAUGGCCAUGGAGCAUCCCCAACUCUUAUUAAAAUGGAAAAAAAAAAAGCCUUUGCAUUUCAAUCUAUUAUUGCACUUUAUGACUCAUCUUCAGGUUCUCUCUGCAAAACAUUGAAAGCCAGAUCAUAAUUUGAUGAUGAAAUAUUGAUUAUGCAUUUGUAUGCAGAGGUCUAUACUAUAUAGAUAGAAUUCCCACCCUGUAGUAUCUUCUAUUUUAAGUCAGUAUGAAGAUGGAUGUUCCCCCCAGGCAAAUUUUGAUAAGAUACUUGUGUCAAUACAAAAAGAGAUUAAUGCCAAUGUGAAUCAAUACCCGCUUAUUGGUUUGGGUUGCUUCUUCUCCACGCAGCAGCUGGCACCAAGAGGGGUUUCCAAACACCAGCGGCUCCCAGCCAAUCUGCAUAUUUCUUUAUUUAAAUCAUGAGAGUGGGAAGUGGCAAGGGAAUGGUGGGUUGGCAGGGGGCUGCCCACGCCCACUCCCAAAUUGAGAAGGGAAUGAAAAUAAAACAAACGCAACUUGUCAACAAAUCUGGGAGAAGCUUUAUUACCAUCAUUAGCAGUGUGCUUGUCCUCUGCUGCUUCCAAAAAGAAUAAACUUCAAAUGACAGAAGAAGAGCGGUCUCCAUCCUUGCUGGGUUCUCAGCGUACAGCAGGGACUGGGCUUAUCUUGACUGUGCAUCUGCUGUGUUUCCUGCCCAGCCCCCACUGCCACCUGCAAUGCCCUAUAUUUAGUGCUUCUUUAAAAUCUCAUUUAUCAUCUCCCAUCCCCACCAAAAAGUAAGGUCCAAAACCACGGAGGAUUUUUUUUUUUUGCGGGGGCGGGGGUGGUAUUUUUUGUUCACUGCUGAAUUUCCAAUGUCUGGAUGUUGAAUUAAUUUCUUUCUGCUUCAUUCAUUCAUCUAACAAAUUGAGCGACUACUAUGUGACAGGGCCCUCCAGGUUCUUGGGAUAUAUCAGUGAACACAACAGACAUUCUAGUGGGUGAUAGGGCAAUAGAGAUAAUUAAUAAGUGCCGUAUGGAAAACAUUAGAAGGCAAUAAUUGCGGCUGGGUGCGGUGGCUCAUGCCUGUAAUCCCAGCACUUUGGGAGGCUGAGGUGGCCGGAUCACCUGAGGUUAGGAGUUCGAGACCAGCCUGACAACACGGUGAAACACCGUCUCUACUAAAAAUACAAAAAAUUAGCCAGGCGUAGCCCAGCUACUCGGGAGGCUGAAGCAGGAGAAUCACUCGCACCAUUGCACUCCAACUUGGGCAAUAAGAGCGAGACUCCGUCUCAAAGAAAAAAAUGCCAGUAAUUGCUAUGAGGGAGUGGAAAGCGAUCAUGGUAAGAAGGAUUGGGUGGGCUGAGGAGAGGAGUUCUAAUUUUAAAUAGGGGGGUCAGGAUCAGCCUCACUGAGAAGGUAAGUGUGAGCAAAGCUGUGCAGGAGGUCAGGGAAUGAGGUAUGUAGCUAUGCAGGGGUGGGCGCUAGGAAUUUCCAGACACAUAGACUGGCUAGUGCAAACAUCCUAAGGUAGGAGUGUGCCUGCUUUAUUUGAGGACCAGAAAUAAAAGGAAUGGCUGGAGGCCGGGUGCGGCGGCUCACGCCUGUAACCCCAGCCCUUUGGGAGGUCGAGGUGGACAGAUCAUCUGAGGUCAGGAGUUCAAGACCAACCUGGCCAACAUGGCAAAACCCCGUAUCUACCAAAAAUACAAAAAUUAGCUGGGCGUGCUGGUACAUGCCUGUAGUCCCAGCUACUUGGGAGGCUGAGGCAGGAGAAUCGCUUGAACCCAGGAGGUGGAGGUCGCAGUGAGCCAAGAUCACACCACUGCACUCCAGCCUGGGUGACAGAGUGAGACUCCAUCUCGGGGGAAAAAAAAAAAAAAAAGGAAUGACUGGAAUGGAAUGAGUGGAUGAUGAUUGGACAAUUAAAUUAAACAAGUGAGUCUGAGGCUUCCAGGGGCCAUCUUGCCCCCCAACCUGCCUCUCCCCAUAAGAAGAAUAAACUAAGUACAGACAGAUCCAGUCUCUUGCUCUGAUCCAGCUAUGCCUCAAGCAACUUCUACCCAACAUUUUUUCAGUGCUUAAGGUAAUAUAAUCCCUUUUUAAAACCACUUGUAACUGAAAUAAUCCUGAUAAAACACUGAGACUCGAGUGCCUAGGACACCUGAGCUUCUGUGCCCACUGUGGGAUCUUAACAAUGUCUGCUGGCUGGUCCUGGGCAGCGGGACGCUCAGCCUCGGAGGGUGAGGCCUGGAAUCCAUCUGUUCGGGGAGGCCUGGACAGCUGACAAGUGAGAAGGAACCUUUCAAAUUUGCAAUUUUCAAGUGUCAGAAGGAUAUUAUGCCGCUCCUCUGACACCUGGCAUCUUAGGCAGAUGUGCCCCGUUUUCUAUCAACACGUCUGCUGUGUAAGGUGUGGCCUUUGCACUCACAGGAUCCGGAACCCACACCUGAGAAUGAGAACUCCAGGUGUUAGCUUCUCCAACAAGUCACAUUGGAAGGACCAGGCAGACCCCUUUCCUUCAAUUACCAAAGUUGGUGACACAACAGUUUCAAAGGAUUCUAUUCAAUUCAACAAGCGCUUUAAGCAGUGGCUCAAGAUGCUAGAGGGUUGGAGAAACACAUGAUUUGGUCUGUCCCCUUAAAAAGAAGAUAAGCCAGUGGGCAAGUGACUUAAUUCAUUUCAUUCACUAUGUGUUCCAUGCUAGAGGCAAGAUACUAGGGGCUAGGAUGGAGACUCCCCAAACAGGCGAAAGAGAUUUGCAUGUGAGUACUUUGUGUGUGACCACUUGUUAUUCAUUGAGCAAACAUGAAGAACUUCCUAAAUGCCCUGCACUCUUUGAGACUCUAAGGACACAGCAGCCAGCAAGAUGGGCAAGAUCCCAGUCCAUGUAGAGCUUAUGUCCUGCUGGAGGAUAAAGGUAAUAGGCCAGGUAAGGUGGCUCACGCCUAUAAUCCUAGCACUUUGGGAGGCCAAGGCAGGAGGAUCUCUUGAGCUCAGAAGUUCGAGGCGAGCCUGGGCCUCCUGAGCCCAGGAGUUCGAGGCCAGCCUGGGCAACAUAGCAAGACCUGUCUCUACACACACAUACAAAAAAAUUAGAAAUAAAUUAGCCAGGCGUGGUGAUGUGCACCUAUAGUCCCAGCUAUUCUGGAGGCUGAGGUGGGAGGACAACUUGAACCCAGAAACUGGAGGAUGCAGUGAGCUAUGAUCAUGCCACUGCACUUAGCCUGGGAGAAAGAAUGAGACCCUAUCUCUAAAGGAAAAAAAAAGAUAAUAAAGUGAAACUCAUUUUUGAAGGAGUGAUUUCUGAAAUUGUUUAGUGCAGUGAGGAAAAGACAGUGGGAUAUUACAAUGGAGAGACGCUGGGCAUUGUGCAGCAAGACGGAGAAGUCAGGGAGGGCUGAGCUGGAUGGAAGUGGUGGGAAGGAGCCAGCCUGCAGAGAAGCAGAGCGUGUGCUCUGGCAGAGGGAGUGGCAGGGCAAAGGCCCUGGGCAGGAGCAGGGUCAGGGUCACAGCUGUGUGGCUGGAGUUCAGUGGGCCAGGGGGAGAGUGAUGGAAGGCAAGGUCAAGGUGGGCUGGGGCCAAACCCUGCAGUGCUUUGUCAGCCAUGGCAAGGAUUUGGGGUUUUAUUCUAAGUGCAUCUCAGAGUGCCGGCAUCUUUAUCUUGGGGUGAUGUUGGCAUAUUCCCACCAGGAUAAAUUAACAUUCUCACCUUAACAGAUCAUUGGGUAGAGACUAGAAAUGUACCGAGCAGUGCGCAAAGAAGAUGAGGAGGGUUCUACAGUUUCUCCAGAUACAUACCAUGACAAUUUGUUUUUUUAAAAAAGAAGAAAGCCUGCAGGUAAGUACAGCCGAAAGUAAAGAGGGCCACAGUAGAGGAGGGAACAAUGCCACACAACAUGAACAGCAAGGAGGGAGCAUUCCAUUCUGAGCAGAGGGACGCGAGGAGGUGGGGCCUGAAAGGACACAGGAGGCACUGACCCCCCGAGGCAAGGGAGAUGUGCCUUCUCUGGGAGACAGCGGCUUGGGAUGGUGGUGGGGCAGGUUCCCCGGGGAAGACCUGGACCAGGGGCUGGGGGUGGGAGUUGGAGAGGAGAGUGCAGUCUUGGGAGCAGAUUUAAAGUUAAGUGGCCUCCAUGGACCCCACAUGGCCCAGUCAGUUUGGACCCUCCUGGGAGAUCCUGAGUUCUGAGCCUAGGCGGUCUUGUCCUGCCUCUGCUGAGCACCCGGGCCAUGGCAGCCAUCAGGAUGCAGGAAGGUGGGGUCCCCUCCCAGCAGCUGGGAAAGCAUGAAGGAAGUUCAUUUCUCUGCAGCAGCUAUAGUGAUCGUGAGGAGAAGUAACUGAAAAGGUCAGACACACACUUCACUUACACAGCUCAUAAGUCAGUAAAGAAGCAAAGCCUGAGACUUCCUCAGGAGGUGAGUAAAUCCUCUGCCUUGCCAAGGCCUGCAAAGCUAGGCUUGGGGCCGGCCAGCCUAGGGGAGUGGCUUCUCCUGCUCUAGCUCCCAGUGCCCUCUGGCUUGGCUUUCUGAAGAGAGGGCUAGAGGAGCUGUGCCUCUAGAGUUCAAAAGAAAAGUACCUUAGGGAGGGAGUAUAGGGUUGCAGUCAAAAGAAUGGGCUCUGGACUCAUAAAAACAUCAGUUCAAAUUCAGACUCAUACCACUUAUUUGCUGUGUGAUUUUGGGCCACUCACACAACCUCUCUGAGCUGUCGUUUCCCCUCCAUACUGUAGGGCUGAUAAUAGUACCCAAACCAUAAGUCAUUGAGAGGAUUCAAUGAAGAUCAUACAAGUAAAAGAGUUAGAUCAAUGCCUAGGUUCCCACUGCAUAUUGGCUGUGGUUGUUAUCUUUAUCAUUUAAAUCAUUUAUUAUUAUUAACACUUUAAUUGUACAGCCUCCAAAAUGACCCCUGUGAUCCCUUCCCCCUGGUAUUCAUGCCUGCUAUUUAACCAGAAUAGGGUUGAUCUGUGUACUAAUAGGAGAUUGUGGGGACAGCAGAAUGUGACUUCCAAGGCUAGGUCCUGAAAGAUGCUGUGACUUUCGCCUGAGUCUCUUGGAUCACUCGCUCUGGGGGAGGACUGCUGUCAUGUCAUGAGGACACUCAGGCAUCCCCAUGGAAAAGUCUGCAUGGUGAGCACCCGAGACCUCCUACCCACAGCCAGCAUUAACUUACCUGCUCUGUGAGUGAGGCAGCUUGGAGGAAGAUCCCCCCACCCCAGAUAACCCCUAAAUGACAGCAGCUCCCACCAACAUCUUCUCUCCAAGCUCAUGAGGGAGUGUGAGUCAGAACCACCUAGCUAAGCUCGUGAAUUCCUGACCUGCAAAAACCGUGCGAGAUCACAAAUGUUCAUUUUUUUUAUUGAAGCCAUUAAGUUUUGGGGUGAUUUGUAAUGCAUAAAUAAUUAAUACAAUUAUUAUACUGAAAAUUUCUCACUAGGAAGUGGCCACUCAUUAGGCAGCCCCAGCCUUCAGGCUCUGUCCAGCCCAGUAAAAGUCAGUCAUUUUUGUGCCAAAGAUCCCUGAAAGAGACAGCAUCAUGUUUGGGUAUCACCUCCUCCAGAGAGCCUUCUUGGCCAAGUCAAGAGCUUUUCUCCAUGUGCCCACAGAAAGGCUCUUUGUAAUCCUCUACCACACUGCAUUGUCAUUCUGGGACCAAUCAUGUUUUCAUCUAGGCUUUGGCUACUAGGAGGCUCAGACCCAAAUUUUCAGGCCACUGCGAAGACUCUCAAUUUAUUCUUGCCCUAGUUUACUCAUCUAUUUGCUUUGUCCUGUUUUGUGUGUCCCUUGUGUAAAUUAUCACACAUCCUUUGUGAAAUGAGGCGGCAUGAAGCAAGUCCUUGCUGAAGGUCCAGGGCAUGGCAAGAGAACCUGAGUUUAAGAAGCAGACAUCACCUGCUGGCAGCAGGCAGUAUCCUCUCAGUCAGCCUUGAUGUCCCCUUCCCUGGAUCCUCACUUCUCAUGGCAAUCUCCCCGUCUCCUCAGGUGGGGAUGGGAUGAACAGGUUUGAUUAGCCCUUCACUGUAAAUGCCUGUCCUCUGUCACUGCACCAGGACUGAUAUGGUUUAGUUGUCCAUGGCUAUCAUCCAAACUUGAAGGUGGCACUUGUAAGGAAAAAACAAACCAACAAGCUAUCCUAAAAGGAGGCUGGCAGCAUGAGGAAGGGGCUUGCCAUCCCCUGUGCCAGUGCGGGAAGACCAGCCCAAGUGCCCACCCCACUGCGGGAGCAGACUCAGCUGUCCCCAAACCUGAAUGCAGGUAACAAGGGCAGCAGCCUGAGCAUCUCAGAGCCCAGAGGCAGAGCGUUAGCCGAUUGCUUCCAGCAUCAUCUGGGGCACAGUGGGGUCUUGGUUCCUCAAUGGGCCUGAGUGGAUCUAACUCUGCGAAGUUAGAUCCCAACAGCCAUCACAGUUUGCAGACAAUGUCAUUAAGACCAUCCAGAUAACUUCCUAACUCCAGUUUUGUGCCCACCAAGCAUCCUUCUGAUUUCAAAUUGGCCUCGCAUGCCAUGUGCAACUGGGAGAGAGUGUGUGGACAGAAAUGGGGCCAAUUGACUAUUUCCCUUGGCUGUCAUAUUUUUCAUUAAUAAACUAACUCUCCAGCCACAAAUACACACUCAGAAUGCCUCUUGCUACUCCAGAUCCUCCAUUCACUGUGAAGGCAAUCAUGGGGAUUAUGAAUUCCAUCUCCCAGGUGUGGAUUAAACUGCAUGCCAGGGGAGGUUUCUGUGGUUCCAAUCUACCCCGCUUAGUACAUCAGAGCUCAACAGGAUCAGGUCAAAGCUGGAAGGAUCCUGAGAGCCCACAGAAAUAAUGACUCCUGUGCUGAGGUUCACAGGAGUAGCACUGGGGUCUGUGAAUUCUUGGCAAAAAUUCAGAAAACCUAAGGGAAUCCAUGCAUUAGCUGAUAAUGAGGCCAUACAGACUAACUAAAGCAUCAGCCACCUCAUUAAACUGGGAAGCUUAAUACUGUUUUUAUUGCACAAUCAUUUCUAAAUGUCUUUUAUUAAUAAAAUUGGGGAAAUGAAUUUGUUAUUCUUUAAUAAGUGCAGUGUGUUUAGCUGACAAAAUUUUUACAAAGAUGGGGAUCAAUGGGUUGCAAGAAUACUAAAAGAUGUUCUUGUUCUGCAGGGUUGGAAGCCCCUAAGCCACCAUGCACUACCCAUCAUUUUACAAAAGAAGGAGAAACUGAGGAACAAAGAAACACAUAUUUUCCCUCAAGCUUCAGAUUCCCUUUAAACUCUUAGGAUAUCCCAUAACCCCCUGUAGCUUAUGGCAGCUAGAUUCAUGACAGACAAUCUCUCUAGAGUCAAUUUGGUUUUUCUCUUAACUCACUCAAGCCUCUGGGAAUGAAAGGUCUAGCCCUUGAAGGCUACUUUUGGUAGAAGACGAGGUUCAGUAUUAAAAAGGAGGACAGAGGAUGGAAAAGAACACAACUACAUCAAUAGUUUCUCCACAUUAUUUGAUGUUCAGAACAGUCCCAUGAAGAAGAUAUAAUAUUCCCUUUCUACAGACCAAAAAAUUAAUAUUUGGAGAGGUAGAAAGACCACCCAAGGGAACACAUAUUUAGACGGAAAGCCCAGUUCUGUCUAGUGUUUAAGUCCUGGCCCAUUCAGCUACUCUGCUCUGUAACUAUCACCCAUUUCAGCACCGCGGACAGAGGCAGAGCCCUCAGUCUUCCCUGUAGGUGGGAUGGAGGCAGAGGGUGGUAAGAUGGGUGCUAAGUCCCAGGGAAGAUAUGUAUCCACCAAAGUGCCUGAAUGAUGAGAGGGAAGUCAGAGCUAAGGAAGGACACAUCAUGGACAUCUCUUUACAUGUGUAUCAAAUUGCGUUCUGUUUAGAACCAUUUUCUAGCCUCCCACCAAGGACGUAAACAGGACAAGCACUGUCAUCUGUAAAGUGCCACUCCCAGACUGCCACCCAGAGUUCAUAAAAGGCUCAGAUGAAUCAAUAGGUGGGAAAGUUAUCUGGAAUUUAUAAAAAUUCACUGUUAAGGAGACGACUAUCACAGACAAACCCCAAAAUCAGCGGUUUAACACAAUAGACAUUUUUUCUGACUUGUGUAAAGCCCCAGACAGGGAUUGCUGCCUGUCAAAAGGCCUGACUGGCACUUGUCUUGAGGCACACUCUGGUGCCCAGGCCCCUUGCUCCUUGUUGCUCUGCCACCUCUGAAGUGGCUUCUAAGGUCACUGUAUUUAUCUGUGUCAAGACAGAGGAAAAAAUCAUGAAUAAAUAAACCCAGGGAGAUUUGUAUGAGCCAAGCCUGAAAUUGGCACACAUCACUUUGGCUCAUACGUGGAGGACUGGGAGUGCAGAAAGAUGAGGAAAUGGGUCUUACUGAACACAGAACCACAGAACUCUGUCUCCCUCCUCUCCAAAGCUGAGAAAUUGCCACAAUCAGAAAGUGUGAUUCCCAUCUGAGAGUUUAAGAGCAGGAAUAGAUUAAAGACAAAUCAUGUAAAAUACCUUGACUCCUAGACUUGCCGAAGCAUUCAGCCUGAGCCAUCUUUACAUGUGGAUAAUCUUGGAUUUCCCAACUGGGCUUCUUGCACACUCCAUGGUAGAACGUCAGAGGAAAUUUUUUUCAAGCAAGAGCUGUUAGAUCAUGAGAUUCCCCAGAAAGAUACAGAUACAGGUAUAUGUCAUAUUACUGGAGAUUCUAAUUCAGCUACCUUCACAGGCCUGGGAAUGUGUUUUUGACACAGGGGCAUUAGGAUUGUUUCAGCUGCAAGUGACAGAAGUCUAGCUCACACGGUCUUAAGCAAGAAAGGAAAUGUAUUGAUUCCUAUAAGUGCACCAGGAUCUAGAUACACUGUCAGGCACAGCUGGAUGCAGACUCCAACAGUCUCAUUGGGAUACCCACCCUCUCCUCCCAUCUCUGACCAUCCCAGGUGGCUCCCUUCAUGGGUCAAAGUGGCCACCAGAAGCUCCAGAUACAUCUUUUUAUCAACAGCCCCAGGAGAACUUCUCUUUCUCAGUAAAAUCCCACAAGGUAUUUUUUGGCACUAAUUGUCUUGGCUUGGUCCCAUUCUUAUCCCUGAACCAACCACUGUGACCAAAAACGUGGUAUUCUCUGAUUAUCCAAGCCUGAUUCACGAGCCCACCCAUGAGUCUGAUAUGAGGUCCAGUCCAUACAAUCUACACAAGCUAGGUCUGGGGCAUGGUGGUGCCCCAAGGACAGCUGGGGUGCCUUUCCUAGAAGAAAGGGGGCAGGGAAUGGGUGCUGGACCAGCAUCAGCAGCAGAAUUCUUAGGCACUAGACUGUGGGGGGCUCAGAGAGGCAUGGGAGCCCUGAGGUCCCCACAAGGUGUGGGAUAGUCUUUCAGACCUUCAGGGGGGGUCUCUGCUCACUAACCUGCUCAAAGCACCCUGGCCCACACCGUGGGCAGCUGGAAGGUGCCAGUCCACUGAACAUGUGUGAUUGGCAUGAAUCUCCUGCUUUCCUUUGUCAGAAGGCUAGGAGUGGAUUUGACCCGUUUACUCAGACCCUCUCAGUGGCCCUGCUCCCACAGGCUCACCCCAGCAGGGCCCAGUGCUUGGCUGCCAAUGACGCCAAGGAUAUUAGCUGACAGUGACUUAAAACAGGGGUUCAUGACCUCAGGGUAACCGAGGAACCCCUGAAUCUGAAUUCAUCAGUCUGUGUAUAUGAAUGUGAGUGCCUCUCCUUUCCCCACAGGAAAAAAUCUACAACUUUCAUCAAAUUACUCAGGGAGACUUUAUUCUAAAGAGACUGAAAACGACCAACAUCAAUUUUGACUCCUAUGGGCAUCUGUAAAUAGCUUCAAGGUUUUAAGGUGAAAUGUCAUGUACCAAAAUACACAUUCUGGAGAAGCAGGAAGCUACAGACCAACUUGAGAUGAAAGUCUCAUAUCAAUGUUUUCCCAAGUGUGCUCCUUGGAAUACAGGUUGACAUGAUAUGAUGCCCAGCAAGGGAAACAAAACAUAUUCAUGUUCAAAUUAGUUGGGGAAAUGCUGGACUAAAUAAGGUUUGAUGGGAUUCUUUUUUCUGCAGGACUUCUCAGAAGGGGCUAGAGUAGGCAAAGUUUCCCAGAUUUACCUAAUAAAAGCAUUGUUUCUGUGGGAGUUUCAUUUGUUAUUACAUGUUUCCUGAAUGCAGAUUCAUAGACUAUCCUUUGGGGAACCCUCGUCCUCACGGGAUGUAUGUUCAUGGUGGUGUCUUCGAGUUUGUGCCCUUGUGAAGCAUUCUGGCAGCAAGCAUCUGAACACUUCCAAAAGGGGGCGAUAUUUAGGAGAAAUCGCUCAGCCUGAGUUAGAACAAAUGCAGCUGCUGGUGUCUCUUGGUGCCUGGGAGCCCUAGAGUGUCAGAGGGAGGAGCGUGCACACUGGAACCAGCAGCCUGGUGCUGCGUCUCAGCUCUGUCGCUAACUGGCUAUGCACCUCUGGGCAUGGCACUUAACCCUUCUGAGCCCCAGCCCGCCAUCUGUAAAAAGGGCUUGAUGUGAGGAUUGAAUGAGAUCAUGCAGGGAACACAAUGUCUGGCACUUGGAAGCGUCCACCAUAAAGAGCCAAGGCAGUAGAUGGCCCAGCUGGGUUUGGUCCAGGCAGAGUUUACCCUCUGCCCUGGAGGCUCCAGGAAAUGCUGCCACGUGGCUCCUAUUGCCUUAACCACAUCCGACCUGUUCCUGACAGCUCCCCACAUCUCCAGCUCCUUUGCUGGUGCUCCAGGCACCUCCAAACGUGGCGAGCCCCUCUCCCCUGCCCUCUUGUGGCAGCUGACCUGGCAGGAGUGGGACCAAGACAUCCAAGGCAGCUCCUUUCCACCUGCAUGGGCACUUUCCUCAGGACAUCCUUGCCCCUGGCACCACCUUGGGCCAGCAAGCCACAUGGAAAUGGAUGCAGAGGCACCACUGUUUGCUGACAAUUAUACACUGUCCUUAAGGUCACCCUUGGCGAUCUGUCACCAGGAGCAGACAAACCCACACCUCAACCAUCCCAUCAGAGCUUGUUUCUAUCUGCAUCUGUCAUCGCUGAUCGCAUUUGAAUGGGUUUAGUCUCUAUUUUAAAUAAAAGAUUUAUGCCUUAGCUGUCAGAGCCUGCCUUUAUUUGAAAAUUUAAUCUUGUUUCUAGGAGUCUAGAUUAACUUAUUAGAUUUAGGCGUCCCUCGUGGGUCUCUGAGAGAGGAGGAGUAGAUUCUCCUCCCUGCAUUCGGCCCUGCACACCCGACAGUGAGAGCCAAGAGCUGGAUGGGCUUCUCCAUCCAGCACGCCCAGGCUGGACAGAGGCCCCCAACUCAGGCAACUUUGUCGGGUAACCGUGUGUCCAGGGAGUGCUUUCUUGCACGCUCCGUCUCCGGGCCAGCUUCCAGGACCUGUGCUCACUGCAAGGGACACCCAUCAAGCCGGCCCUUUCUCAGAGGUUUUGGGGAGGCUUCAGGAAGGACCCCCAGUGGGGGCCCAGCUUGUCAACAUGGGCUGUGCCAAGGAGUUCUGAGUUUCCUUCAGGUCUGUAUUGUAUCUUCCACCCCCUCAGAGCUCCCUCCCUACUGCUUAGACCACACGAAGCUGUGGGGCUGUGGGCAGCCAGUUCACUUCCCUGACCUUGUCUGCAGGUGGAGACAGUGGCAGUGCCCCUCCCGGGCUGCUGCGUCACUCAGUGUAAAAGCAGGGAGGCACUGGAGAGCUGCUGUCUGCAAGUUUGUUGCUACUUCAAAAGGUGCAGGUGGGCCCUCACCUCCUUUAGAGGUGAGGAUGAGCUACCCAAAGUGAAAAGGAGCUUCUCAGCGUCGCAAUGGAGUCACGGCCAGGCUGCCCACACCAGCCGUCCGGACCUGCACCAGUGCCACGGGGUCUGCCCCAUCUUCUCUUCCCUCUCCUUCCCCUCUCCCUCUCUCUCCCUGUCUCUUUCUCCUCUCUCCAUGCUAUUGACUGAAUGUUUGAAUUCCCUGCAAAUGCAUUCCUAACCCCCAAUGUGACUGUGUUUGGAGACAGGGUCUUUAGGAGGUAACUGAGGUUAAAUGAGGUUGUAAAGAUGGGGCCCUGAACCGAUGGGACUGGGGUCCUUAUGAGAAGAGGAAAAGGGGUCCCUCCCCAUGGAGGGACGACCACAGCGAGGCAGCAGCCGCCCACACGCCAGAGAAGGGGACUCAGACGGAAGCCUUGCUUCACCGGCACCUUGAUCUUGACUCCUAGCCUCCAGAAUUGUGAUAAAUAAAUUUCUGUUGCUUAAGCCCCCAA